CAGCAUUGGUUGUCAAGCGAUGUUGGGGUGACAAACAGACACACAAACAUAUACAUACAAACAUACAUAUAUACGACAGGCUUCUUUUCAGUUUCCGUCUACCAAAUCCACUCACAAGGCUUUGCAGUUUGUUUUGAGAUACACGUGUCUUAAUUGUUGAAUUAAUUUGUUUUUGAAAAUGGCUAGUCUAGGUGAGUUGUUUUAUACAAUGAAAACUGAGGAAGAUGCUGAAUCUUUCUUGGCAGAAAAGGGUAUUAUACCCAAUAGUAAGAAAGGGCACCGAAUGAAAAAGAAAUUGGUUGGGAAGAAUGUUUGCUGGCGGUGUAGUCGCAAAGGUUGCUGUGAGAGGGUGUCUGUCCGAAAGGGGACAUGGCUAGAUGGUAGCACUCUUCCUCUGCGGACUGUAGUCCUUUUUUUGUACUCUUGAGCCAAGGAACUGGCUACAGUGCGUUAUUGUGUAGAACUGGGGAUGAGCCACGGUUCAGCUGUAGAUUACAACAAUUACGUGCGAGAAAUAUGCGCACAUGACUUGCUAAUGAACCCAGUUGUAAUAGGUGGUCCUGGGAAGAUUGUCCAGAUAGACGAGACAGUCUUCUCUAGGAGGAAGUUUAAUCGAGUAAGGGUGCUACCUCAGCAUUGGGUAUUCGGAGGAGUGUUCCGUGAGACCAGAGAAGUUUUCCUUUAUGCACUACCUUGACGGAAUCGCGACACACUCGAAGAAUACAUCCGCCGCUCAAUCCUCCCAGGUACCACAAUAUUUAGUGACCUGUGGAGGGCUUAUUCACAUAUUCCAGAGAUCGAGGGAUACAAUUUUCGACAUAGAAGGGAAAGAGGAAAAAGAAAGAACUGUGUAGAAAAGAAAGAAAGACUUUAAUGCGAACAUUAUUUGUUUUGAUUCGACGUGAACUGUUUAAAUGCUUUGAUUUUGUUGUUUUCUUGUUAAUUCUGUUGCAUGUUACUUUCUUUAAUGUAUCUGCUAUGUAUCACAUUGUAUUUAAUGUCGUAAUUGUUAUAAACUGUUUUUAAAUGUAAGCCAAUUGCCUUCCGCCGUGUCUCUGUAUCUCUUCCUGUUGUUGUUGUUCUCGCCGGUUGCCGAGUUCGCUGCCCCCCACACACACACACACACCGGGCCCUCUCUUUCCGUGGCGAAUUCCCCGAUCGACUGGGCCGGUGCAAUCGUCGUCGUUCGACUUGGUAGGGUCCCGGGUUUUAGUUGAGCGAUGGCAGGUGGUACGUAACAAUACCCAAUAGCAAGAACUGUAAGAAAGGGCACCGAAUGAAAAAGAAUGUUUGCUGGCGGUGUAGUCGCAAAGGUUGCUGUGAGAGGAUGUCUGUCCGAAAGGGAACAUGGCUAGAAGGUAGCACACUUCCUCUGCGGACUGUAGUCCUUUUUUUGUACUCUUGGGUCAAGGAACUGGCUACAGUGCGUUAUAGUGUAGAACUGGAGAUGAGCCACAGUGCAGCUGUAGAUUAUAACAAUUAUGUGUGAGAAGUAUGCGCACAUGACUUGCUCAUGAAUCCAGUUGUAAUAGGUGGUCCUGGGAAGAUUGUCGAGAUAGAUGAGACAGUCUUCUCUAGGAGGAAGUUUAAUCGAAGAAGGGUGUUACCUCAGCAAUGGGUAUUCGGAGAAGUGUUCCGCGAGACCAGAGAAGUUUUCCUUUAUACAGUACCUUGACGGAAUCGCGGCACACUCGAAGAAUGCGUCUGCCGCUCGAUCCUCCCAGGUACCACAAUAUUUAGUGACCUGUGGAGGGCUUAUUCACAUAUUCCAGAGAUCGAGGGAUACAAUUUUCGACAUAGAACGGUGAGCCACAGCAUCGAGUUUGUGAACUCCGUUGAUACCCAACAAAUAGAGAGUACGUGGACCUGUGUGAAACGGGGUAAUAAUCGACAUUGUGGUACACACCGAUUGACUUGUAUCUCUGCGAAUUCAUGUGGCGGCGCAGACACGAAAAAAGUGACCUUUGGGAGAAAUUGCCGGCAAGCAUUAGGAAUUUCUGACCAAAAUACACCCCUCAGAAGUUUCAAUUGAAUUGUAAAAUAUUCAUGAACAAGUCCUGUGCGCAUACUUCUCACACAUAACUGUUAUAGGCCACAGCUGCAUUGUGGCUCAUCCCACGAUUAUGGGUAAUUUGUUUUUGAAAAUGGCUAGUCUAGGCGAGUUGUUUGAUACAAUGAAAACGGAGGAGGAUGCUGAAUCUUUCUUGGCAGAAAAGGGUAUUAUACCCAAUAGUAAGAAAGGGCACCGAAUGAAAAAGAAAUUGGUAGAGAUGUUUUUUUUUUUUGUUCAGCUUCUUUACAUUCUGCGUAACAGUUUGUUUCCGCAGUGAUUGCUUCAAAUAAGCAUGCUGAAAAAAAAUUGUUGAUAAAAACAUUUUUUUAAAGUUUUUACAACAUCAUGGUGUAAAUCAUCAUGUUGCCUCUUUCAGUUUCUUCAGAAUCGCUGCUUUCGGUUUCGGAUACAGAAAUAUCCGAUUCAUUUUCGUUCACCAUGUGCUUUUGUAUGUAUCCCUUUCAUUCUUUUAAAUAUAUUUGUGUAGGAAUUGCCAAUUUCUUCUUCAUGCCCUUACUUACAAUUCUUAGUGCAGGGUUUUUUUUUUCCUUUUUAUUUUUUCUAUGCUACUCUGCCUGUACUGCUUACUGGGGUCAAUCUAAUCGACCCCCCCCCCUCCAAAAUUUCGGAACUUCUCCCUAGACGACCAAUAAAAAAAAAGAGAAAGAAAUUAAAAAUCAAGUAUCCAUUGCUUACUGGGGUCAAUCUAAUCGACUGCCCCCCCCCCUACCUCCUCCAAAAUUUCGGAACUUCUCCCUAGACUACCAAAAAAAAAAAAAAAUUAAAAAUUGAUUCAAUCACUGUUUGUAUCUUUCAAUGAAACUUGCUUUGAAAUUUGUUGCACACCUGCUUGUAAUGAAAUAUCUUGCUUG